rnacentral:rRNA from 1 species
GAUGAACGCUGGCGGCGUGCCUAAUACAUGCAAGUCGAGCGAACGGACGAGAAGCUUGCUUCUCUGAUGUUAGCGGCGGACGGGUGAGUAACACGUGGAUAACCUACCUAUAAGACUGGGAUAACUUCGGGAAACCGGAGCUAAUACCGGAUAAUAUUUUGAACCGCAUGGUUCAAAAGUGAAAGACGGUCUUGCUGUCACUUAUAGAUGUAUCCGCGCUGCAUUAGCUAGUUGGUAAGGUAACGGCUUACCAAGGCAACGAUGCAUAGCCGACCUGAGAGGGUGUUCGGCCACACUGGAGCUGAGACACGGUCCAGGCUCCUACGGGAGGCAGCAGUAGGGAAUCUUCCGCAAUGGGCGAAAGCCUGACGGAGCAGCGCCGCGUGAGUGAUGAAGGUCUUCGGAUCGUAAAACUCUGUUAUUGGGGAAGAACAUAUGUGUAAGUAACUGUGCACUUCUUGACGGUACCUAGUCAGAAAGCCACGGCUAACUACGUG